rnacentral:rRNA from 1 species
GAAUUUUAUAUAAUUAUUAGAAUUAAUUAAUUUAAAAAUUUUUAGUUGAAUUAAUUUUAAUUUAUAUUUAGUUGGGAGGAUUAUUAAAUUUUAAAAACUUUAAUUAGAUAAUUACAUAAAUAUAUGGAUAUUAAAAAUUAAAUUGAAUUUAUAUAGAAAAAUUAAUUACCUUAGGGAUAACAGCGUAAAAUUUUUAGAGAGAUCUUAUUAAUAAAAGUGUUUGC